GAUGAACGCUGGCGGCGUGCCUAAUACAUGCAAGUCGAGCGAACAGACGAGGAGCUUGCUCCUCUGACGUUAGCGGCGGACGGGUGAGUAACACGUGGAUAACCUACCUAUAAGACUGGGAUAACUUCGGGAAACCGUAGCUAAUACCGGAUAAUAUUUUGAACCGCAUGGUUCAAAAGUGAAAGACGGUCUUGCUGUCACUUAUAGAUGGAUCCGCGCUGCAUUAGCUAGUUGGUAAGGUAACGGCUUACCAAGGCAACGAUGCAUAGCCGACCUGAGAGGGUGAUCGGCCACACUGGAACUGAGACACGGUCCAGACUCCUACGGGAGGCAGCAGUAGGGAAUCUUCCGCAAUGGGCGAAAGCCUGACGGAGCAACGCCGCGUGAGUGAUGAAGGUCUUCGGAUCGUAAAACUCUGUUAUUAGGGAAGAACAUAUGUGUAAGUAACUGUGCACAUCUUGACGGUACCUAAUCAGAAAGCCACGGCUAACUACGUG
rnacentral:rRNA from 1 species